GCAAACUUGGUCAUUUAGAGGAAGUAAAAGUCGUAACAAGGUUUCCGUAGGUGAACCUGCGGAAGGAUCAUUAAAAAGAAAAAAAUCAUAGUCCGAUUUAUUUUGUGUGCACUCAUUGAUUAGUAUACUUUGACAGAUUUUUGUUUUUUGUUUUGUUAUUUAUGGUUUUUUUUUGCCUUUUUUUAAUAAUAUUUUUAUUAAAAAAAAAAUCAAAAAAAAAUCCAUCAAACCAACAAUCAAAAAAUUUUAGGGAUUCAAAAAAUUAAAAAUUUUAGUUUUUAAAUCUCGAAUCUGUCAAAGGUUUUUUAUAUUUUUUUCUUUUAAUUUUAUUAAUUUUAAAUAAUAUAUAUAUAUAAUAAUUUAAUAUAACUUUCAACAACGGAUCUCUUGGCUCUCGCAUCGAUGAAGAACGCAGC
rnacentral:misc_RNA from 1 species